GUUACCAUACAUAAAAGCGAUUUUGAGCCUUUAGAUAAGAAUGUGGGAUCUUGACCAUCCAAAAAUAAAAUGGUAACCGGUUAUAACUAGUCAAGCAAAACUCUCUCUUUCAUUUUCUCAUUCCACAGUUCAUCUCUACACCAUAUUCUCUGCAUUUUCAUGGCUCAAUCUACAUCCCUUUGAUUCAAUGUUUCCGAAGAUCAGCCCUUCAUGUGUUUCUCACGGUCAACGACCCUCCUUGGUUCUUCUCAAUUCCCCAGUUCCUUAGCCUUAGUUUUUUUUUCUCUUUUGAAGAAGAAGAUGUGCAACAACCAAUCGCUUUGGAUUCGCCUAGAGACCUUCUCUAAUUUAUCAUUAAAAGCGGCAAGCUCUUCAGUUGACUCAUCAGAAUUUGGGCACUCAGUUGCAGUGGAGUAUUUCAUACAGGAGACCAUUGAGAGCUUGGGAAGAGGACAUGCACCAUGAUAUGCUUGGAAGGUUGCAGUAGGUCCAAAGAAAUAGAGAUCUUAUGGAGGACAAAUUGAUCUGGACUCCCCUUUCAUCAGGUAUUUUCACUGUUAAGUCUCUUUAUGAUUUAUUUGAGAUCUCUCUUCAGGUGCCAUCCUUUCCUGUGAUGAAUUUAUGGAAGACAGUUGCACCGCUAAAGAUAAAAGCAUUCGGAUGGUUGGUGUGGUGGGAUCGAAUUGCAACUGCAAAUCUCCUUCUUAGACGCCAUAUAAUCCACAUUCCCAUCCAUUAUGCAUUUUGUGGUAAUGAAGAAGAGUCAAUAGUUCAUUUGCUCAUUCACUACUAUUAUUCAUGGAUGAUUUGGUCUAAAAUUGUCAAUUGGUGGGGAAUUUUGUGGGUCUCUCCUUGUUAUAUCCAAGAGUUGUUAGUUUGGUGGUUUGGUUAGAAAAGACAGUAUCUGGGAAGAGUUAUUUGGGAAGCCUUGCCUUUGGCAAUUCUCUGGACCAUAUGGAUUGCUAGGAAUGAAAAGGUGUUUAAUUCCAAGGAACCUAUUUGGGUGGAUCUGGUGGAAGACAUUAAGCUCAAGGUUGCGUUUUGGGUAAAACAAUCGUUUAACACGCCAAAAUUCUCAUUUCAUGACUUUUUGUUUUGUUUACAUGGCAUCAAAGGCUAUAGAGCUAAGAUCUCAGAAUGAUGUUUUGUAUUUUGUUUGUCUUCUUCUUUGUAACUCUUUUGGUUGAGUGCUCAUCAGCCUUCUUUUGGCUUGUGCCUGCACAUGAUUGGGUUGUCUAAUAGGUGCCAACUUAGUUGGGAUGUAUUUUUGAACUAUGAUGCAAUUGUGCCAAGCCUUUUUUUGUACUUUUUUUUAUCAAUAAAAUUCCAUUUUCUUUGCUGAUAAAAAAAAA